rnacentral:rRNA from 1 species
CCGUGGUAAUUCUAGAGCUAAUACAUGCUAAAAACCUCGACUUCGGAAGGGGUGUAUUUAUUAGAUAAAAAACCAAUGCCCUUCGGGGCUCCCUGGUGAUUCAUAAUAACUUAACGAAUCGCAUGGCCUUGUGCCGGCGAUGGUUCAUUCAAAUUUCUGCCCUAUCAACUUUCGAUGGUAGGAUAGUGGCCUACCAUGGUUUCGACGGGUAACGGGGAAUUAGGGUUCUAUUCCGGAGAGGGAGCCUGAGAAACGGCUACCACAUCCAAGGAAGGCAGCAGGCGCGCAAAUUACCCAAUCCCGACACGGGGAGGUAGUGACAAUAAAUACUGAUACAGGGCUCUUUCGAGUCUUGUAAUUGGAAUGAGUACAAUUUAAAUCCCUUAACGAGGAACAAUUGGAGGGCAAGUCUGGUGCCAGCAGCCGCGGUAAUUCCAGCUCCAAUAGCGUAUAUUAAAGUUGUUGCAGUUAAAAAGCUCGUAGUUGAACCUUGGGCCUGGCUGGCCGGUCCGCCUCACCGCGUGCACUGGUCCGGCCGGGCCUUUCCUUCUGGGGAGCCUCAUGCCCUUCACUGGGUGUGUUGGGGAACCAGGACUUUUACUUUGAAAAAAUUAGAGUGUUCAAAGCAGGCCUAUGCUCGAAUACAUUAGCAUGGAAUAAUAGAAUAGGACGUGUGGUUCUAUUUUGUUGGUUUCUAGGACCGCCGUAAUGAUUAAUAGGGAUAGUCGGGGGCAUCAGUAUUCAAUUGUCAGAGGUGAAAUUCUUGGAUUUAUUGAAGACUAACUACUGCGAAAGCAUUUGCCAAGGAUGUUUUCAUUAAUCAGUGAACGAAAGUUAGGGGAUCGAAGACGAUUAUUUGGUCGUUUAAAGCGGAUGCUAGCCUGAUCUAUUGGGCGAUACCAUCAAAUUACGGGGACUCCCUAAAGCCUCAAUCACCAAGCUGGCAUCGAAAGGUGCCGGUGGCCAGGUUAACACCCUGGGUACGGUAAAAGUAUUGAGGAUGUGACAAUGGGUAAUCCGUAGCCAAGCUCUAAGGUGGUUCGCCGCUAUGAGUACAGUUCACAGACUAGAUGUUGGUGGGAGGCGUGACGAAACACCCUUCUAAGAUAUAGUCGAACCGCG